rnacentral:rRNA from 2 species
ACGCUGUGCGCGCGUGCCUAAUACAUGCAAGUCGCAACGAACUCUGGUAUUGAUUGGUGCUUGCAUCAUGAUUUACAUUUGAGUGAGUGGCGAACUGGUGAGUAACACGUGGGAAACCUGCCCAGAAGCGGGGGAUAACACCUGGAAACAGAUGCUAAUACCGCAUAACAACUUGGACCGCAUGGUCCGAGUUUGAAAGAUGGCUUCGGCUAUCACUUUUGGAUGGUCCCGCGGCGUAUUAGCUAGAUGGUGGGGUAACGGCUCACCAUGGCAAUGAUACGUAGCCGACCUGAGAGGGUAAUCGGCCACAUUGGGACUGAGACACGGCCCAAACUCCUACGGGAGGCAGCAGUAGGGAAUCUUCCACAAUGGACGAAAGUCUGAUGGAGCAACGCCGCGUGAGUGAAGAAGGGUUUCGGCUCGUAAAACUCUGUUGUUAAAGAAGAACAUAUCUGAGAGUAACUGUUCAGGUAUUGACGGUAUUUAACCAGAAAGCCACGGCUAACUACGUGCCAGCAGCCGCGGUAAUACGUAGGUGGCAAGCGUUGUCCGGAUUUAUUGGGCGUAAAGCGAGCGCAGGCGGUUUUUUAAGUCUGAUGUGAAAGCCUUCGGCUCAACCGAAGAAGUGCAUCGGAAACUGGGAAACUUGAGUGCAGAAGAGGACAGUGGAACUCCAUGUGUAGCGGUGAAAUGCGUAGAUAUAUGGAAGAACACCAGUGGCGAAGGCGGCUGUCUGGUCUGUAACUGACGCUGAGGCUCGAAAGUAUGGGUAGCAAACAGGAUUAGAUACCCUGGUAGUCCAUACCGUAAACGAUGAAUGCUAAGUGUUGGAGGGUUUCCGCCCUUCAGUGCUGCAGCUAACGCAUUAAGCAUUCCGCCUGGGGAGUACGGCCGCAAGGCUGAAACUCAAAGGAAUUGACGGGGGCCCGCACAAGCGGUGGAGCAUGUGGUUUAAUUCGAAGCUACGCGAAGAACCUUACCAGGUCUUGACAUACUAUGCAAAUCUAAGAGAUUAGACGUUCCCUUCGGGGACAUGGAUACAGGUGGUGCAUGGUUGUCGUCAGCUCGUGUCGUGAGAUGUUGGGUUAAGUCCCGCAACGAGCGCAACCCUUAUUAUCAGUUGCCAGCAUUAAGUUGGGCACUCUGGUGAGACUGCCGGUGACAAACCGGAGGAAGGUGGGGAUGACGUCAAAUCAUCAUGCCCCUUAUGACCUGGGCUACACACGUGCUACAAUGGAUGGUACAACGAGUUGCGAACUCGCGAGAGUAAGCUAAUCUCUUAAAGCCAUUCUCAGUUCGGAUUGUAGGCUGCAACUCGCCUACAUGAAGUCGGAAUCGCUAGUAAUCGCGGAUCAGCAUGCCGCGGUGAAUACGUUCCCGGGCCUUGUACACACCGCCCGUCACACCAUGAGAGUUUGUAACACCCAAAGUCGGUGGGGUAACCUUGAAGGAGACCAGCCGCCUACAGGUGG